UGUAUAUGGUGUCCUAGUAACAGCCAAACAUUCAGAGAGAGUACCAAUAUCGAAGAAGUCAUGUCGUUAAGUAGAGAUAUACCCGAUAUAAAAUCUAUUAACGAAAUAGAUUUUAAUUCGGGGAUGUACAGAAAAGUCUCCACUGUAAAACAGGGAAAGGAUUUUACCAAAUCCGGACGUUGGAUUUACGUUUCUCACGAGUGUGCAGACCUAACUACCAUACUUAAAGUUAUAAAUGAAAAUUUAAGUAACUGUGAAGAAGCCCACUUUAAAUACCAGCCUUUUAUACUACACGUCUUAUGCCGUUCUUUAGAACAUGCUAAACUCCUUUUGAAACUAUCCAUUGGUGCUGGAUACCGACAUUCGGGCCUCACUUGUGCUAAUAAAAUGAUUUUGGUAAUUAGAGACACAGUCGGAAUAGAUGCUCCUUUAAUAUAUCACGGAAAUAAACAAGUAUCAGACGAUUAUGUGAGAAUACUUUGCGAAAUAGCCAACGAAAAACUAUCGCACAACUUUCGAAAAAUAAAUCAACUUUUUAA